UACGGAGGGUGCAAGCGUUAUCCGGAUUCACUGGGUUUAAAGGGUGCGUAGGUGGGCAAGUAAGUCAGUGGUGAAAUCUCCGGGCUUAACCCGGAAACUGCCAUUGAUACUAUUUGUCUUGAAUAUUGUGGAGGUCAGCGGAAUAUGUCAUGUAGCGGUGAAAUGCUUAGAUAUGACAUAGAACACCAAUUGCGAAGGCAGCUGGCUACACAUAUAUUGACACUGAUGCACGAAAGCGUGGGGAUCAAACAGG
rnacentral:rRNA from 1 species